AACGAACGCUGGCGGCGUGCCUAACACAUGCAAGUCGAGCGAGAAAGCCCGCAAGGGUGAGUAAAGCGGCGCACGGGUGCGUAACACGUGGGUAAUCUGCCCUGAAGUCCGGAAUAACUCGCCGAAAGGCGUGCUAAUGCCGGAUGAGACCACGGGAGCUUCGGCUCCUGCGGGAAAAGGUGGCCUCUGUAUACAAGCUAUCACUUCAGGAUGAGCCCGCGGCCCAUCAGCUCGUUGGCGGGGUAAUGGCCCACCAAGGCUACGACGGGUAGCUGGUCUGAGAGGACGAUCAGCCACACUGGAACUGAGACACGGUCCAGACUCCUACGGGAGGCAGCAGUGGGGAAUCUUGCGCAAUGGGCGAAAGCCUGACGCAGCAACGCCGCGUGUGUGAUGAAGGUCUUCGGAUCGUAAAGCACUGUCGCGAGGGACGAAUAAGGGGCGAGCUAACAUCUCGUUCCGAUGACGGUACCUCGAGAGGAAGCACCGGCUAACUCUGUGCCAGCAGCCGCGGUAAUACAGAGGGUGCAAGCGUUGUUCGGAAUUAUUGGGCGUAAAGCGCGUGUAGGCGGCUUUGUAAGUUGGGUGUGAAAGCCCUCGGCUUAACCGAGGAAGUGCGCCCAAAACUGCAUGGCUUGAGUACCGGAGAGGGUGGCGGAAUUCCCGGUGUAGAGGUGAAAUUCGUAGAUAUCGGGAGGAACACCAGCGGCGAAGGCGGCCACCUGGACGGAUACUGACGCUGAGACGCGAAAGCGUGGGGAGCAAACAGGAUUAGAUACCCUGGUAGUCCACGCCGUAAACGAUGAGCGCUAGGUGUUGUGGGUGUUGACCCCUGCAGUGCCGCAGCUAACGCAUUAAGCGCUCCGCCUGGGAAGUACGGCCGCAAGGCUAA
rnacentral:rRNA from 1 species